CCCCUUUGAUAUACAGUUGCCAUAUACAUAAAAGUUAGCAGAUACCAAUGUCAAACUUAUUUUGUCAUUUUCACAGUUUUCAUUUCCAUGUACAUCUAAUAUGUUCGACAAAAGAACUUCAUCAGCCAAGGGAAUGCCACAGUCUUCGGGAAGAAAACAUGGCUACAUCUGGAGAGAGCUUAAAGAUUUACUAUGACUGCAAAGUAAGAAAGCCCAGAUGGUCCUAUGAUGACUCAACAAUAGAUGACAAGGAAAACACAAGACCAUCUUUUCAAGACGAGGUCCACUUUUGAGAACUUUGACUGGAAAUCAUAGUGCUUCAUUUGUGGCGAAAAGUGCAGCCGUCAUAGAGACAAUACAUCAAGAGGUUUUAGCAGAAGUUGGUCCCUAGGGCCAAAAAAAAUGUGUGUUUCGGGAAACGGCUGAACAUUUUUUUAGGUAAGUUAGGUAUUUUUUUCUGGUCUUUGCGAUGGCUCACAUGCUUUUGCAAUGGGAAUAUCCGGGAAAAAAACAUCGUACCGAAGUAUGCGCGUCCUAGAAAUUGGAUCAUAUUCCGUUUCUUGUUGAAUUCUCAAAUGCGCAUAAUUCCCUAUUUAAUUUUUACUCGACGUUAUCACAUUCUUCAAACAAACUGUAAAUGUACAGUGUGCUUUAAUCUUUUCUCUUGAGAAAAGCGCGCGCAAAUUAUUCCCUACAUGAACAACGUCACGUCAAACGCAUGGAAGCGUGCGUGCAUUAAAUUUCCGUUUAAUGUUCCGUGGUAAAUUUUGGGUGUUGUCAAAACGAAUCCCGGAAUAAACCCCCUUCGGAAGAAACACCCUUCCCUAAAAACAGCAUAGCGGAAUAAACCCCCUUUCACAUUUUGCAUAAACGGAAGAAACACCCUUCCAUAGCGGAAAAAAACCCCUUCCAGUUUUCAGACAGGCGGAAUACACCCCCUUCAUAACUGUUAUUCAAACUGUUUGAAAAACAUUGACAGGUAAUUCGAUUCAUGUACGUAAAAGGCAUCACGUAUAACGGUCAUGAAGUUUAAACUUAUUUAGUUUUAAACCAAUUCCAAAUCAUGGAACAAUUGUUAAGAGUUUAAUGGGCAGAUAUAUUGACUUUAAUUUAACAUAAAUGAAAUAAUGCAUAUUGCCACUUUUAACCUGAACGUGUUUUCAAAUAAACCUUGUAAAAUUCUACUUGCAAAUUAUCUGAUAACCUGUGUACUUAUUAUAUUAUGCUUGCAAAAACUGUGCAUAUUUGUUUUAAAUGAGACACUGCAUACAUAUAUAUCAGCACAUGUAAUUUAAUCAUGAAUAAGGCACAAUUCUAAUAUUGGGAGAUAUAAACAUGCUUGAUAUUGAUGUCAAUAGAUGCUACAAAGUGGUUCAUUUCUGCAAGAUUCUACACAUCCAUGUUCUCAACAAGAUAUUGUUCCCAAACAGUCGAUACUUACAGAUAAUUCUUACUCACUUUAAGAUCAAAACCGUCGGUGGAUACCGUAAUCCUGACAAGUAAACAAAGAUGAGAAGCUAUUUAUCAUUCGUGAUAUGGAGAGUCCUCAGUUAAUCUGCACUAAUCGGAGCAAAUUAUCAGCUACAUUUGUUCGAGUGGACAGAAACCGACGCGUUUAUCUUGUAAUCUAAAAGUGCUCAGUUUAAAAAUUAUUAUAGGGCGGUUAACUGCAUUGCUUGUAAAACUUGGUUGACAAAUUAAAUUGUUGCAAAAUUUUGCCCAGAUCUUCGACUUCAAUCUGAAAAAGCCAUAUAUACAUGAACAUAGUUAUCUGCAAUUCUGUCGUGUGUGUUUCUUUCCCCAUAAUAAUACUGUAUACUCGAAUAGUAAAGCUUAAUGCGAGUGAACUCGUUUAUAUUCGAGUGUGAAGAUAGUUUACUUAUAGCCCUCUACUACUUGAUAACCCAAGCUAAAAUAAGUCGUAGCUUGCUGAUUCAAGCCGAAAUAGGUCACAGUUUGCAACUUCGAUGAUACGCGUGUCACAGUACAGAAUGCAUGCUUAAAUAUGCGUAGUACGUUUGAAAAAAGAGUCUUGCUAAACUAUAAUUAGUACUUAUAAAACGAAGUGUCUUUUAAUUCAUUGAAACGAAUUUUGUUUGAAGAAAAAAAAUGUGUUUGUUCAAAAGCGCUUGGUGCGAUAUAUAUGUUUACUUGUUUUUGCGUGUGUACUUAAUCGAUUAAUUCUUAAGACUUCUAGCGCAAUCGCUUGUAUAAUUCUAUCGAUGCAAUUAAUUAUAGCAAAUUGUUCGUUAUUC